GGAAGUAUGGUUCAAGAGGUAGAAUACCUGCCUGGCAAGUAUAAGGCUUUGAAUUUGAAUGUCAGUGCUGCCA
rnacentral:tRNA from 1 species